ACAUACGACCAUAGCUCUUGGAGAAUACGGGAUCCCGUCUGCUCUCCCAUCGUCAAGCCGAGAAGCGGUGAAUUAGUACUCAGGUCGGUGACGACUGGGGAAUCCUCACUGUUGUAUGUU
rfam:Fusarium oxysporum f. sp. cubense race 1 unplaced genomic scaffold scaffold102, whole genome shotgun sequence.